rnacentral:rRNA from 1 species
ACGGGUGAGUAACGCGUGGGAAUCUACCUAGUUCUACGGAACAACAGAGGGAAACUUCUGCUAAUACCGUAUACGCCCUAAGGGGGAAAGAUUUAUCGGAAUUAGAUGAGCCCGCGUAAGAUUAGCUAGUUGGUGGGGUAAUGGCCUACCAAGGCGACGAUCUUUAGCUGGUCUGAGAGGAUGAUCAGCCACACUGGGACUGAGACGCGGCCCAGACUCCUACGGGAGGCAGCAGUGGGGAAUAUUGGACAAUGGGCGCAAGCCUGAUCCAGCCAUGCCGCGUGAGUGAUGAAGGCCUUAGGGUUGUAAAGCUCUUUCAGUGGGGAAGAUAAUGACGGUACCCACAGAAGAAGCCCCGGCUAACUUCGUGCCAGCAGCCGCGGUAAUACGAAGGGGGCUAGCGUUGUUCGGAUUUACUGGGCGUAAAGCGCACGUAGGCGGAUUGGUCAGUUAGGGGUGAAAUCCUGGAGCUCAACUCCAGAACUGCCUUUAAUACUGCCAGUCUCGAGUCCGGAAGAGGUAAGUGGAACUCCUAGUGUAGAGGUGGAAUUCGUAGA